rnacentral:rRNA from 1 species
UACGUAGGGGGCAAGCGUUGUCCGGAAUCAUUGGGCGUAAAGAGCGCGUAGGCGGCCCUGUAAGUCCGCUGUGAAAGUCAAGGGCUCAACCCUUGAAUGCCGGUGGAUACUGCAGGGCUAGAGUCCGGAAGAGGCGAGUGGAAUUUCCGGUGGAGCGGUGAAAUGCAUUGAGAUCGGAAAGAACACCAACGGCGGAAAGCAACUCUGCUGGGCCGACACUGACACUGAGAGACGAAAGCUAGGGGAGCAAAUGGG